UUAUUUUCAUAUUUAGAAACCGACAACAUUCAACGUAGAUCGAUUCUCGUCGACUUUUCUUUCUUUUUUUCUUCUGGGUGUUGAUAUUUGGUUGAAAAGAUUUAUGUUUGGUUGCAGUUUUGACGAUUUCAUCUACCAAUCGUUUUCAAUCUCUUCAUUUUGCAUCUGAAUCUUCGUUUUUGAUAUCUCUUCGUUUUGCAUCUGAAUCAUCGAGCGACACAGAAUUUACUUUUGCAUCUGAAUCGGAAAUUGUAGGAUGAUUAUAGAGGGUGGAUCAGGGUUUCUUCUCAAUUUGGGGAUUGAUUUUUAUUCGUGAUAUCAGGGAUCGAUGGUUUCAUAUUAUUUUGUAGAAUCUAAUAUUUUAUUGUCAUAAAAGAAAUCUAGCAUUGUUUUUACCUUCUCGCAUGAGAUAGAUUAUGAUAAAUGAGAUAUUUCCAUUGGCUUGUGUUUAAAAAAAUCACAAUAAUAUUAUAAAAUUCAUUUCAAUAUUUUUCUUUUUGUGAUUUUAAAAUAGUAUUCUCUUAAUUAACACCUUUUUAUUUCAUUUUAAAAUAAUACUUCCAUCAUUCUUGAGAUUUGUAUUACAUUUUAAAUCUAAAAUAAUUAUUGAAAAUUCAUAUCGUUUGACAAUAAUUCUUUUCUUUUGAAUUAAGUAUUAUUUUUAAUAAUUAUUUUUCUCUCAUGGGUAAUUCAUGCUUUUAUUUUUUUCCCAUUUCAACAUUUUACUUUGUAUCUUUUGGAGACAUGUUUGUUGUGCUUUUUGAAUCUAAAAUAUUAAUUGCUUGUGUAGAUCGAUAGACAUGAAUCGCAUAUCGAUGUCUUUGGAGUUCAUAAUAGUUUAAAAUAAUAAAUAUCUAUUUCCAAAAUGAUUUUGUGUUCUACCCUAUUUUCAAAUAAUAUAUUAUGUAUGAGUAAAUCUCAAUAUUUUUCUUCUUGUGACUUUAAAAUAGUAUUAUGUUAUUUAACACCUUUUUAUUUCAUUUUAAAAUAAUGCUUACAAAAUGAUAGUUGAAAAUAAUAGUUGAAGAUAGAGAGUUGAAAACUAUUAAAUCUUUUUGUGACUAUAAAAUAGUAUUAUGUUAAUUGACAACUUUUUGUUUCAUUUUAAAAUAAUGCUUCCAAAAUGAUAGUUGAAAAUAUUAGUUGAAGAUAUAGAGUUGAAAACUAUUAAAUUUUUUUAUUUCAUCUUUGGAGUUUAUAAUAUAUAGUUGAAAAUAAUAAUUUUUUUUCCAAAAUGAUUUUAGAUUAUUCUUCCCUUUUUUCAAAUAAUAUAUUAUGAGAAAAUUACGAUAUUUUUCUUUUUUGACUUUAAAAUAGUAUUAUGUUAAAUAACACCUUUUUAUCUCAUUUUAAAAUAAUGCUUCCAAAAUGAUAGUUCAAAAUAAUGGUUGAAAAUAUAUAGUUGAAAACUAUUAGAUCUUUUUAUUUUGUAUUUGGAUUUCAUAAUAUAUAGUUAAAAAUAAUAAAUUUUUAUUUCCUAAAUGAUUUUUUGUUUUACUAGCCUUUUUUCAAAUAAUAUAUUAUGAGUAAAUUUCAAUAUUUUUCUUUUUGUGACUUUAAAAUAGUAUUAUGUUAAUUAACACCUUUUUAUUUCAUUUUCAAAUAAUUCUUCCAAAAUGAUAGUUCAAAAUUAUAGUUGAAAAUAUAUAGUGAAAACUAUUAGAUCUUUUUAUUUCAUCUUUGGAGUUCAUAAUAUAUAGUAGAAAAUAAUAAAUUUUUAUUUCCAAAAUGAUUUUUUCUUAUUAUACCCUUUUUUUAAAUAAUAUAUUAUCAUGAGUAAAUCUCAAUAUUUUCUAGCUUUUUGUGACUUUAAAAUAGUAUUAUUUUAUCAAACAACUUUUGUAUUUCAUUUUAAAAUAAUGAUUCCAAAAUGAUAGUUCAAAAUAAUAGUUGAAAAAAUAGAGUUGAAAACUAUUAGAUCUUUUUAUUUCAUCUUAAUUUGUAGUUCAUAAUAUAUAGUUGAAAAUAAUAAAUUUUUAUUUCCAAAAUGAUUUUGUGCUAUUCUACCCUAUUUUCAAAUAAUAUAUUAUGUAUGAGUAAAUCUCAAUAUUUUUCUACUUGUGACUUUAAAAUAGUAUUAUGUUAUUUAACACCUUUUUAUUUCAUUUUAAAAUAAUGCUUACAAAAUGAUAGUUGAAAAUAAUAGUUGAAGAUAGAGAGUUGAAAACUAUUAAAUCUUUUUAUUUCAUCUUUGGAGUUCAUAAUAUAUAGUUGAAAAUAAUAUUUUUUUUUCCAAAAUCAUUUUUUGUUAUUCUACCCUUUUUUCAAAUAAUAUAUUAUUAGUAAAUUACGAUAUUUUUCUUUUUUGACUUUAAAAUAGUAUUAUGUUAAAUAACACAUUUUUAUCUCAUUUUAAAAUAAUGCUUCAAAAAUGAUAGUUCAAAAUAAUAGUUGAAAACUAUUAGAUCUUUUUAUUUUGUAUUUGGAUUUCAUAAUAUAUAGUUAAAAAUAAUAAAUUUUUAUUUCCAAAAUGAUUUUUUGUUUUUCUAGCCUUUUAUCAAAUAAUAUAUUAUGAGUAAAUUUAAAUAUUUUUCUUUUUGUGACUUUAAAAUAGUCUUAUGUUAAUUAACACCUUUUUAUAUCAUUUUUAAAUAAUUCUUCCAAAAUGAUAGUUCAAAAUUAUUGUUGAAAAUAUAUAGUGAAAACUUUUAGAUCUUUUUAUUUCAUCUUUGGAGUUCAUAAUAUAUAGUAGAAAAUAAUAAAUUUUUAUUUCCAAAAUGAUUUUUUCUUAUUUUACCUUUUUUUCAAAUAAUAUAUUAUGUAUGAGUAAAUCUCAAUAUUUUUCUUGCCUUUUGUGACUUUAAAAUAGUAUUAUUUUAUUUAACACCUUUUUAUAUCAUUUUAAAAUAAUGCUUCCAAAAUGAUAGUUGAAAAUAUUAGUUGAAGAUAUAGAGUUGAAAACUAUUAAAUCUUUUUAUUUCAUCUUUGGAGUUAAUAAUAUAUAGUUGAAAAUAAUAAUUUUUUUUCCAAAAUGAUUUUAGAUUAUUCUUCCCUUUUUUCAAAUAAUAUAUUAUGAGUAAAUUACGAUAUUUUUCUUUUUUGACUUUAAAAUAGUAUUAUGUUAAAUAACACCUUUUUAUCUCAUUUUAAAAUAAUGCUUCCAAAAUGAUAGUUCAAAAUAAUAGUUGAAAAUAUAUAGUUGAAAACUAUUAGAUCUUUUUAUUUUGUAUUUGGAUUUCAUAAUAUAUAGUUAAAAAUAAUAAAUGUUUAUUUCCAAAAUGAUUUUUUGUUUUUCUAGCCUUUUUUCCAAUAAUAUAUUAUGAGUAAAUUUCAAUAUUUUUCUUUUUGUGACUUUAAAAUAGUAUUAUGUUAAUUAACACCUUUUUAUUUCAUUUUUAAAUAAUUCUUCCAAAAUGAUAGUUCAAAGUUAUAGUUGAAAAUAUAUAGUGAAAACUAUUAGAUCUUUUUAUUUCAUCUUUGGAGUUCAUAAUAUAUAGUAGAAAAUAAUAAAUUUUUAUUUCCAAAAUGACUUUUUCUUAUUUUACCCUUUUUUCAAAUAAUAUAUUAUAUAUGUAUGAGUAAAUCUCAAUAUUUUUCAAGCUUUUUGUGACUUUAAAAUAGUAUUAUUUUAUUUAACACCUUUUUAUAUCAUUUUAAAAUAAUGCUUCCAAAAUUAUAGUUGAAAAUAAUAGUUGAAGAUAUAGAGUUGAAAACUAUUAAAUCUUUUUAUUUCAUACUUGGAGUUCAUAAUAUAUAGUUGAAAACAAUAUAUUUUUUUUCCAAAAUCAUUUUUUGUUAUUCUACCCUUUUUUCAAAUAAUAUAUAUAUUAUGUACGAGUAAUUAUCAAUAUUUUUCUUUUUUUUACUUUAAAAUACUAUUAUGUUAAUUAACACCUUUUUAUUUCAUUUUAAAAUAAUGCUUCAAAAUGAUAGUUGAAAAUAACAGUUGAAAACAAUUAGAUCUUUUUAUUUAGUCUUUGGAUUUCAUAAUAUAUAGUUGAAAAUAAUAAAAAAAAUUUCCAAUUUUUUUUUUUUAUUUUACUCUUUUUUCAAAGAAUAUAUUAUGAUUAAAUCUCAAUAUUUUUCUUUUUGUAGCUUUAAAAUAGUAUUAUGGUAAUAAUAACCUUUUUAUUUCAUUUUAAAAUAAUGCUUCCAAAAUGAUAGUUCAAAAUAGUAGUUGAAAAUAUAUAUAGUGAACUAUUAGAUCUUUUUAUUUAGUCUUUGGAUUUCAUAAUAUAUAGUUAAAAAUAAUAAAUUUUUAUUUCCAAAAUGAUUUUUGGUUAUUCUAUCCUUUUAUCAAAUAAUUUAUUAUGAGUGAAUUUCAAUAUUUUUCUUUCUUGACUUUAAAAUAGUAUUAUGUUAAAUAACACCUUUUUAUCUCAUUUUAAAAUAAUGCUUCCAAAAUGAUAGUUCAAAUUAAUAGUUGAAAAUAUAUAGUUGAAAACUAUUAGAUCUUUUCUUUCAUCUUUGGAUUUCAUAAUAUAUAGUUAAAAAUAAUAAAUUUUUAUUUCCAAAAUGAUUUUUUUUUAUUCUACACUUUUUUCAAGUAAUAUAUUAUGAGUAAAUUUCAAUAUUUUUUUUUUUGUGACUUUUAAAUAGUAAUAUGUUAAUUAACACCUUUUUAUUUCAUUUUAAAAUAAUGCUUCCAAAAUGAUAGUUGAAAAUAAUAGUUGAAAAUAUAUAGUAAAAUACUAUUAGAUCUUUUUAUUUCGUCUUUGGAUUUCAUAAUAUAUAAUUAAAAAUAAUAAAUUUUUAUUUCCAAAAUGAUUUGUUUUUAUUCUACCCUUUUUUCAAAUAAUAUAUUAUGAGUAAAUUUCAAUAUUUUUCUUUUUGUUACUUUAAAAUAAUAUUAUGUUAAUUAACACCUUUUUAUUUCAUUUUAAAAUAUUGCUCCAAAAUGAUAGUUCAAAAUAAAAGUUGAAAAUAUAGAGUUGAAAAUUAUAAUUAGAUCUUUUUAUUUCGUCUUUGGAUUUCAUAAUAUAUAGUUAAAAAUAAUAAAUUUUUAUUUCCAAAAUGAUUUUUUGUUAUUCUACCCUUUUUUCAAGUAAUAUAUUAUGAGUAAAUUUCAAUAUUUUUCUUUUUGUGACUUUAAAAUAGUAAUAUGUUAUUUAACACCUUUUUAUUUCAUUUUAAAAAAUGCUUCCAAAAUGAUAGUUCAAAAUAAUAGUUGAAAAUAUAUAGUAAAAUACUAUUAGAUCUUUUUAUUUCGUCUUUGAAUUUCAUAAUAUAUAGUUAAAAAUAAUAAAUUUUUAUUUCCAAAUGAUUUUUGUUAUUCUACACUUUUUUCAAGUAAUAUAUUAUGAGUAAAUUUCAAUAUUUUCUUUUUGUGACUUUAAAAUAGUAAUAUGUUAAUUAACACCUUUUUAUUUCAUUUUAAAAUAAUUCUUCCAAAAUGAUAGUUCAAAAUAAUAGUUGAAAAUAUAUAGUUGAAAACUAUUAGAUCUUUUUCUUUAGUCUUUGGAUUUCAUAAUAUAUAGUUUAAAAUAAUAAAAUUUUAUUUUCAAAAUGAUUUUUUUUAUUCUACCAUUUUUUCAAAUAAUUUAUUAUGAGGGAAUUUCAAUAUUUUUCUUUUCGUGACUUUAAAAUAGUAUUAUGUUAAUUAACACCUUUUUAUUUCAUUUUAAAAUAAUGCUUCCAAAAUGAUAGUUUAAAAUAAUAGUUGAAAAUUUAUAGUUGAAAACUAUUAGAUCUUUUUAUUUCGUCCAUGGAUAUAAAAAUAAAUUUUUAUUUCCAAAAUGAUUUUUUGUUAUUCUAUAUUCCCUUUUUUCAAAUAAUUUAUUAUGAGGGAAUUUCAAUAUUUUUCUUUUCGUGACUUUAAAAUAGUAUUAUGUUAAUUAACACCUUUUUAUUUCAUUUUAAAAUAAUGCUUCGAAAAUGAUAGUUCAAAAUAAUAAUUGAAAAUAUAUAUUAGAAAACUAUUAGAUCUUUUUUUUCGUCUUUGGAUUUCUUAAUAUAUAGUUUAAAAUAAUAAAUUUUUAUUUCCAAAAUGAUUUUUUGUUAUUCUACACUUUUUUCAAGUAAUAUAUUAUGAAUAAAUUUCAAUAUUUUUCUUUUUGUGACUUUAAAAUAGUAAUAAGUUAAUUAACACCUUUUUAUUUCAUUUUAAAAUAAUUCUUCCAAAAUGAUAGUUCAAAAUAAUAGAUGAAAAUAUAUAGUGAAAACUAUUAGAUCUUUUUGUUUCGUCUUUGGAUUUCAUAAUAUAUAGUUAAAAAUAAUAAAUUUUUAUUUCAAAACUGAUUUUUGGUUAUUCUAUCCUUUUAUGAAAUAAUAUAUUAUGAGUAAAUUUCAAUAUUUUUCUUUCUUGACUUUAAAAUAGUAUUAUGUUAAAUAACACCUUUUUAUCUCAUUUUAAAAUAAUGCUUCCAAAAUGAUAGUUCAAAAUAAUUGUUGAAAAUAUAUAGUUGAAAACUAUUAGAUCUUUUUAUUUCAUCUUUGGAGUUCAUAAUAUAUUGUUGAAAAUAAUAAAUUUUUAUUUACAAAAUGAUUUUUUGUUAUUCUCCCCUUUCUUUCAAAUAAUAUAUUAUGAGAUUUUUUUCAAUUUUUUUUUCUUUUUGUGUCUUUAAAAUAGUAUUAUGUUAAUUAACACCUUUUUAUGUCAUUUUAAAAUAAUGCUUCCAAAAUGAUAGUUGAAAAUAAUAGUUGAAAAAAUAGAGUUGAAAACUAUUACAUCUUUUUAUUACAUCUUUUUAUUUCAUCUUUGGAUUUCGUAAUAUAUAGUUAAAAAUAAUAAAUUUUUAUUACCAAAAUGAUUUUUUAUUAUUCUACCCUUUCUUCAAAUAAUAUAUUAUGAGUAAAUUUCAAUAUUUUUCUUUUUUGACUUUAAAAUAAUAUAUUAUGUCAAUUAACACCUUUUUAUUUCAUUUUAAAAUAAUGCUUCCAAUAUGAUAGUUCAAAAUAAUAGUCGAAAAUAUAUAGUUGAAUUCUAUUAGAUCUUUUUAUUUCGUCUUUGGAUUUCAUAAUAUAUAGUUAAAAAUAAUAAAUUUUUAUUUCCAAAAUGAUUUUUUGUAAUUCUACCCUUUCUUCAAAUAAUAUAUUAUGAGUAAAUUUCAAUAUUUUUCUUUUUUGACUUUAAAAUAAUAUAUUAUGUCAAUUAACACCUUUUUAUUUCAUUUUAAAAUAAUGCUUCCAAAACGAUAUUUCAAAAUAAUAGUUGAAAAUAUAUAGUUGAAAACUAUUAGAUCUUUCUAUUUCGUCUUUGGAUUUCAUAAUAUAUAGUAAAAAUAAUAAAUUUUUAUUUCAAAAAAUAUUUUUUUUAUUCUACCCUUUUUUCAAAUAAUAUAUUAUGAGUAAAUUUCAAUAUUUUUCUUUUUUUGAAUUUAAAAGAGUAUUAUGUUAAUUAACACCUUUUUAUUUCAUUUUAAAAUAAUGCUUCCAAAAUUAUAGUUCAAAAUAAUAGUUGAAAACUAUUAGAUCUUUUUAUUUCGUCUUUGGAUUUCAUAAUAAAUUUUUAUUUCCAAAAUGAUUUUUUGUUAUUCUAUAUACUAUUUAUUAAAUAAUAUAUUAUGAUUAGAUUUCGAUAUUUUUCUUUUUUGACUUUAAAAUAAUAUUAUGUUAAAUAACACCUUUUUAUCUCAUUUUAAAAUAAUGCUUCCAAAAUGAUAGUUUAAAAUAAUAAUUGAAAAUAUGUAGUUAAAAACUAUUAUAUCUCUUUUUAUCGUCUUUGGAUUUCAUAAUAUAUAGUUAAAAAUAAUAAAUUUUUAUUUCCAAAAUGAUUUUUUGUUAUUCUUCCCUUUUUUGAAAUAAUAUAUUAUGAGUAAUUAAUUUCAAUAUUUUUCUUUUUUGACUUUAAAAUAGUAUUAUGUUAAUUAAACCUUUUAUUUAAUUUAAAAUAAUGCUUCCAAAAUGAUAGUUCAAAAUAAUAGUUGGAAAUAUAUAUAGUUGAAUAUUAUUAGAUCUUUUUAUUUCGUCUUUGGAUUUCAUAAUAUAUAGUAAAAAUAAUAAAUUUUUAUUUCCAUAAUGAUUUUUUGUUAUUCUACCCUUUUUUCAAAUAAUAUAUUAUGAGUAAAUUUCAAUAUUUUUCUUUCUUGACUUUAAAAUAGUAUUAAGUUAAAUAACACCUUUUUAUCUCAUUUUAAAAUAAUGCUUCCUAAUUGAUAGUUCAAAAUAAUAGUUGAAAAUAUAUGGUUGAAAACUAUUAGAUCUUUCUAUUUCGUCUUUGGAUUUCAUAAUAUAUAGUAAAAAUAAUAAUAAAAAAUUUCCAAAUUUUUUUUUUCUACCCUUUUUUCAAAUAAUAUAUUAUGAGUAAAUUUCAAUAUUUUUCUUUUUGUGAAUUUCAUAGAGUAUUAUGUUAAUUAACACCAUUUUAUUUCAUUUUAAAAUAAUGGUUAGAAAAUUAUAGUUCAAAAUAAUAGUUGAAAACUAUUAGAUCUUUUUAUUUCGUCUUUGGAUUUCAUAAUAAAUUUUUAUUUCGAAAAUGAUUUAAUAUUGUUAUUCUAUAUACUAUUUUUUAAAUAAUAUAUUAUGAGUAAAUUUCGAUAUUUUUCUUUUUUGACUUUAAAAUAGUAUUAUGUUAAACAACACCUUUUUAUCUCAUUUUAAAAUAAUGCUUCUAAAAUGAUAGUUCAAAAUAAUUGUUGAAAAUAUAUAGUUGAAAACUAUUAGAUCUUUUUAUUUCAUCUUUGGAGUUCAUAAUAUAUUGUUGAAAAUAAUAAAUUUUUAUUUACAAAAUGAUUUUUUGUUAUUCUCCCCUUUCUUUCAAAUAAUAUAUUAUGAGAUUUUUUUCAAUUUUUUUUUCUUUUUGUGUCUUUAAAAUAGUAUUAUGUUAAUUAACACCUUUUUAUUUCAUUUUAAAAUAAUGCUUCCAAAAUGAUAGUUGAAAAUAAUAGUUGAAAAAAUAGAGUUGAAAACUAUUACAUCUUUUUAUUUCAUCUUUGGAGUUCGUAAUAUAUAUAUAUAGUUGAAAAUAAAUAAAAAUUAUUUCCAAAAUGAUUUUUUGUUAUUCUACCCUUUUUUCAAAUAAUAUAUUAUGAGUAAAUCUCAAUAUUUUUCUUUUUGUUACUUUAAAAUUGUGUUAUGUGACUUAACACCUUUUUAUUUCAUUUUAAAAUAAUACAUGCUUCCAAAAUGAUAGUUGAAAAUAAUAGUUGAAUAUAUUGAGUUGAAAACUAUUAGAUCUUUUUAUUUUAUCUUAAUUUGAAGUUCAUAAUAGUUGAAAAUUAUAAUAAUAAAAAAUCCAAAAUGAUUUUUUGUUAUUUUACCCUUUUUUCAAAUAAUAUAUUAUGAGAUUUAUUUCAAUAUUUUCCUUUCUGUGACUUUAAAAUAGUAUCACGUUAAUUAACACCUUUUUAUUUCAUUUUAAAAUAAUGCUUCUAAAAUGAUAGUUCAAAAUAAUAGUUGAAAAUAUGGAGUUCAAAACUAUUAGAUCAUCUCCUAGAUAGUGACAAUAUUGAUUCUAUAUGUGAUGGUUUGGCGGUCUGAUUAUCGUCUUUUCAUGUCUUUUAUCCACUCACAACUGAAUCUUAUGUUUGAGCAGUUUAUUCAUCUUAUUAUUAGAGAAAAUUCCUUUCUCAAGCAUCAUCUUCAAAUUAAAAAUCUGAUGAUCCUUCGGGUGACGCUUUUGCUGCAAAAUUCCGUUCAGGACGUGAUUCUAGGAAUGAUUACAGAGGUAAUUCAAAUGAUGACAAAAGAACUGAGUAUAGAAAUAAAAAAGGAAUAAUUCCUCAAAGAAUAGAUGGAGGAGAUCUAAGAAUUCUAACUCUUCUAAUUCCAUUGUCGUUUGCCAGGUACUUUGAGACACCAGAACAUUUUGUUAAGACUUGUAGGAAAAUUCUGAAAGCCCUAGUUUUUGUUGUUACGUACUAAUGAUUCCUCAUAAGAGAAUUGGAUCUUAGAUUCCGGAGCAUCUGCUAAUAUGGCUUCUGAUAUCAAUAAUUUACCAUGACUCAGGAGUACUACUCAGGUAAAUCUUUUAUUAAAAUUGGUAAUGGUUUAGGUUUGCAUAUAUCACAUAUUGGAAAUUUGAAAAUUAAAUCUAAAUUUGGUGAUUUAAUACUAAAAAUGUUUUGUGUUCCAAAAUUAAAAAUGAAUUUGAUUUCUCUACAAACAAUGUCUAAUGAUUUAGAUUGUAAAGUUAUAUUAAAUUGUAAUAAAUUUUCAGUAAAUGAUAAUAAAUCUGAAAAAUAGAUUUUAAAUGGUAUUGGAUCAAAUGGAUUGUAUGUGUUUUAGACGCACAUGGUGAUAAUUUUAAAUGUAUUGCAUCGAUAGUUAAACAUAAUGCAUACUUUUUUGUUUUAUCUAUAACAUAUGACAUAUGAGAUCAUGUGGGCAUCUAUCAUCUCAUAUAAUUUCUGAAUUGUUUAAAAUACAUAAUAUUAAAACAACUAAAUGUGAAGAAAAAUGUGUUGUAUGUCCGAUGAAUAAAAUGAAAAAAUCAUAACUGAAACAUAAACUAUUAAACACGAAAUAGCUAAAGUUGGGUCAAACAUAUAUAUUAUGAGUUGAUUUCUAUAUUUGUAUCUAGAGUCAGAUAAACAACUAGUUAGAAAAGUGAGAUAAAUCAUAUAUGAAAUUAAGAACAUUAUAAAUAUCAACUUUACAAAACUUUAAUCUAAAUGGAUGAUAUUUCUUAUUUUAUUUUGGUUUGGUUUGGUUUAUUUUUUUUCUUUUCUCUUAUAUAUAUAUAUAUAUAAUUUUUUUCUUCUCUCCCACUUUUUUUCAUGUCUUACAGAUAUAUCUUCUUACAUCUUUCUGCAUUAUGAAUAUUAUUUCAUUUGUCAAACAUUGAUACUGCGAUAUGGAUGCGAUGCUUUUGGAGAUAGUUAGAAGAAUGGAACAGAAAAAAAAAAGCUACUAAUGCUAAGCUAGCAACGUUUGAUUAAGGGAUUAGCAGCCUCGGUUUGGUUUUUUCCUCCAGAAUUCAUAGUGGACAGAUAAGCAAGGAACGGUUUUCCCAGAAUUAAAAAUAAGAUGCAAAAAAUUUGGAAGCACGCUGGGUUUUUAAUCCAUCCAUGGCUAUACUACACUAGAAUUCAAGAUACUAUAUAUAUUGGAGGCCAAAGUUGAAGUGAACAAAGCAUAUAAAGAUUGAGAAGGGAUAUCAACAGAGUUAAAUACAAUCAAUAGCUUUGUUAACUAUAGUUAAUACCCUCUUUAGUUAAUUAGCUAGUAUUAGUAGUUAAUUAGCAGUUAAAUGAUGGGAUAAAUAGGAAGAUUGACAACUUUGUAUUUUGGAGAUUUCAUUUGUACGUGAAAUUGAUAUUUUUUGAUUUGAUUGUCAUUCGCUUGUUUGUUGAUCUCAAGAACCCAAGAGUUGAAGCAUUCAACAUGUUCUUUUCUAAAAUGAUUCAACCCGUGGAUUUUUUGUCUACAGUCCAAAAUAUGGGUCUCUUAGGAUCAGGUAUGUGUGAAUUCUCAUUGCUCAGCAUGAACAACACAUUUGACAUCAAAGGCCUGUCUAGUGCCAAGUCUUGUACACACAACAAUCCAAUUUUGACGAAACGAAAAACUUGAGAUUUCGAGCACGAACAAUGGAGACUUUCAUCAACUAACUCCAAUACGUUAUCAUCUUU
rnacentral:lncRNA from 1 species